UACAGAGGUCCCAAGCGUUGUUCGGAUUCACUGGGCGUAAAGGGUGCGUAGGCGGUCGGGUAAGUCUGAUGUGAAAUCUCACAGCUUAACUGUGAAACUGCAUUGGAUACUAUCCGGCUCGAGGAAUGGAGGGGAGACUGGAAUACUUGGUGUAGCAGUGAAAUGCGUAGAUAUCAAGUGGAACACCAGUGGCGAAGGCGAGUCUCCGGACAUUUCCUGACGCUGAGGCACGAAAGCCAGGGGAGCAAACGGG
rnacentral:rRNA from 1 species